rnacentral:rRNA from 1 species
AACGAACGCUGGCGGCACGCCUAACACAUGCAAGUCGAACGGUAGGUAUAGUUUACUAUACUGAGAGUGGCGGACGGGUGAGUAACGCGUGGGAACCUGCCCUGUAGUUUGGGAUAACCAUGGGAAACUAUGGCUAAUACCGGAUAAGCUCGAGAGAGGAAAGAUUUAUCGCUAUAGGAUGGGCCCGCGUCAGAUUAGGUAGUUGGUAGGGUAAUGGCCUACCAAGCCGAUGAUCUGUAGCUGGUCUGAGAGGAUGGCCAGCCACACUGGGACUGAGACACGGCCCAGACUCCUACGGGAGGCAGCAGUGGGGAAUAUUGGACAAUGGGGGAAAACCCUGAUCCAGCGAUGCCGCGUGAGUGAAGAAGGCCUUCGGGUUGUAAAGCUCUUUCACCUGAGACGAUAAUGACGGUAUCAGGAGAAGAAGCACCGGCUAACUCUGUG